rnacentral:tRNA from 1 species
GCCGGCUUAGCUCAUCGGGUAGAGCAGGCGAUUUGUAAUCGUCAGGUGGCGGGUUCAAGUCCUGCAGCCGGCACCU